UAUUCCCAACACAUCCCUGACAGCUGCAAGCAUCUUUGGGGAAGUGUCCCCUCAAGUUCCUGUUUCCAGUCAUUAAUGCAAAAGAAAGAAAAACGCUAGAGGCACUGAGAACCAUCCAACGCUUCAGCUGGCUUCAGCAAUUGCCACUUGCGCAAGACCCGUGUUUGUGAAAGCAACCCAAGAAUCUUUGAACAGGAUGUAAUCAACCUCCGAUCUGCUGAGAAACACUGCAAAAAUGACUUCCCCUGCCAAAAAUAAUAAUGCCGUUUAUGAGCAGCCCUUCCAUGUCUAAGGAAGAAGUAGCCCCACGUGUGAGUUUCUGCUGGCUUCAGAGGAGCAGGCGAAGAAAAGGGCAAAUCCUACCAACCCCAGCCUAAAAUACACGGCAUCAGAACGCACGGCAAGCUGUGGCUCAUUCCAAAGGUGCUGGCAAUAUCCGGGAAGACUCCUAUCCGCAAAAAUCCAAAGGAAUGAACCUGAAGACUGAAACUGCAGCCGCUGUGUGGUGACCCGGAGGGGACAAGGGAGAGGACAAAGGCCCAUGAGUCUUUUCAUCCUGCAUGUGCAAUUUUAACCAUGAUGGAAGGAGAGACUCUCUGGUCCAAAAAACUCAACAUAUUUCUUAUCCACAGACACAGGUAAGUGGAAACAACCGUUCUUCCGUGUCGGCAUUAGUCAUUGUGAUCUGUUUUUAACUUGUUGCAGAGUCAAAUAACACUGGUACGUGUCAUAAAAUGCCUCCAAAUAAUCCUGGGCUUGUUCAUUUGCUUCAAGCACAUAAAGAGGCAAAUGUUAAAGCAAUGUGUUCUGAUCAAGAAACAGCUGGAAAUGGCAGCUGCCUGAUACAGAGCAAUCAAGAAUGGAAGGUUUAUUUUGGACGAGAGGUGUUGUCCAACUGUGAGACUGAGUGAUUGCAGCUGAGAAUAAGUGCAAACACAAUCAAUAGUGGCUCCAGGUCUGAACUCAUUGAGAACCUGUCUCGUGUCAAGUCUUUUUCUGCUGCCACAGUCACACUACAUCCGUAGACGCCGAUACUAUCUGUGGAGGAGGUAAAAAGUUCUUCAGUUUAUUCUUAUUCUUAAGGACAGCUUCUGAGCUGUCAUGAUUUGAAAUUACAAUGACCAAAAGGCUCCUUCAGAAAAAAAGAAACAAUAUAUUCCAAAGUCAAAUUGUACAACGGACAGGUAAGAAUGCCUCAACUUUAAAUGGUCUUGGGUGGGCAUUGCCUCAAGAACCAGCCAAGUUGUUCUCUGCUUUCUGGAGUUGUAUGACUAUGGGCGAAGUGAUUUCAUUCUUCCCGGUCCCUAACAGUGUUGUUAUUUUAUCGAUACAGACCGUAGAAGCAGCUCAAUAAAUAUUUUCUGUUGAACAAUCUAUAAUCGCGACAUUUGAUAUUGAAUUUCAAUACUACUUCAGCAUAACCUGAUUGAAUUCAACUCCACUUCAACACAAAUAUAUUGUUCAAAAUAUGUGUUUCGUUAUGCCUCAUUAUUUAUAGUCAUACGUCAUGUAUCACACACAGAUAUAUCACAGACAUGUAAAGACAGACACGUAACUACAUAAGAAAUAUUCCUCAAACGUAUGCUGUGUGGAGGAUAUCUUAAUAAUAGCACUUUUUAAAAUAAAAAUCUUUCUCCUGUUUAUAUUACAAAAAUGACCACUUGAUGGUUCAUAAAUCUUUCCCUUCUUUCCUUCGUGCCUAUAUCUGUGUAAGGUCUUGAUGGGCCAAUCACCCCAU